rnacentral:rRNA from 1 species
AAUCAACGCUGGCGGCGUGCCUAACACAUGCAAGUCGAACGCGAAAGGGGCUUCGGCCCUGAGUAGAGUGGCAAACGGGUGAGUAACACGUGGGUGACCUACCUUCAAGUGGGGGAGUAACGUUCCGAAAGGAACGCUAAUACCGCAUAUUGUCCCGUCUUUAGACAGACGACGAUGAAAGCCGGGGAGUCGCAAGACCUGGCGCUAGGAGAGGGGCCCGCGUCCGAUUAGCUAGUUGGUGAGGAACGGCUCACCAAGGCGACGAUCGGUAGCCGG